AACUAUUUUUACUAAAAUCAUUAAAAAAGAGCUGCCUAGUUAUCUUUUAUACGAAGAUGAUUUAGUGGUUGCUUUUUUAGAUAUUACCCAAGCGACUAAGGGUCAUACUUUGGUUGUUACCGGGCGCCAAAGAUGCCUAAAUAUCUUGUUGUCUAACCAACAACCAACGCGAUAAACGUUGUGAGGAUAUGGUCGGUCAGUUAUUCGAAAGAAUAACGGAUUACAGCAGACCAUAAAAGCGAAUUGAGACGAAGUAGUUAGUCAAAAAGAAACGCGACCAAAUUGUCCCAUGGAUAAGCCUGCAAUGGCCUAAGAAAAAAAGCAGAUGUAAUGCCAAAACCUGACAGGUAAACUACUGAAACCUGCAGUCCAGAGUCUAACAAGAUAUUGGUUAUGUUUUGGUUAGUUUAUCAAUUGAAAAAACCUGGAAUCUCACCGACCGUCAAAAAAUUUUCCAAAACGUAAGAAACUAAACAACAAGACGCGGUCAAUUCACCUAAAGGACAGGGUAGAUAUUUAGAGUAACUUGGAUCAUCCUAAAAGC
rnacentral:misc_RNA from 1 species